AUCCAGAUGACUAGUCCUAAAGAGGAUGAAACGCGCGUUCUGGAU
rnacentral:hammerhead_ribozyme from 1 species